AGACUCAUCAGCUGGGGUCAUGUUAAAAUGCAGAUUCUGAUUUAGUAGAUGCAGGUGCUACUCAAGAUUCUGCAUUUCCAACAAGCUCCCAGCUGGUGCUGAU
rnacentral:pre_miRNA from 1 species